CGUUAAAUCGUAAGGAAGGUAUAUUUUCAGAAUCGUGCUGUGGCCACUAAUGGCAUAUUUUGUCACUGGCUGGGGAGCUGGUGAACUAAGAAUGGGUCCAAUUUUUUAAAUCUUAUUACACAGUUUUGCUCUCAUUUAGAAAUUGUCACCUUAAAGUAACCUAAUGCUGCUCUACUUAGAGCAGACCUCACGCGGGCCCUCUCUGUGUGUACGCCGGUCACAUUGUCUUCUAUCUAAGUAGAUAUAAACGUUGUCCUGACAGAGUUGAACAGCACAGAAUCUGUCUGCUCCCUAAGUUGAUGUAGCCUAAGAACUUAAUCUUAUCUAAUUCCCAUAUCCAAUGGGAUAGAGAAUUCGGGGGAAAGAAAGUA
rnacentral:lncRNA from 1 species